UACGAAGGGGGCUAGCGUUGUUCGGAAUCACUGGGCGUAAAGCGCACGUAGGCGGAUUGUUGAGUCGGGGGUGAAAUCCUGAGGCUCAACCUCAGAACUGCCUCCGAUACUGGCAAUCUCGAGUUCGGAAGAGGUUGGUGGAACAGCUAGUGUAGAGGUGAAAUUCGUAGAUAUUAGCUAGAACACCAGUGGCGAAGGCGGCCAACUGGUCCGACACUGACGCUGAGGUGCGAAAGCGUGGGGAGCAAACAGG
rnacentral:rRNA from 1 species